UGAGGAAUUUUGCGCAAUGGGAGCAAUCCUGACGCAGCAACGCCGCGUGGGUGAUGAAGGCCUUCGGGUCGUAAAGCCCUGUCAGGUGGGAAGAAUGUCCCGGGACUGAACAGGUUCCGGGAGUGACGGUACCACCAGAGGAAGCACCGGCUAACUCCGUGCCAGCAGCCGCGGUACUACGGAGGGUGCAAGCGUUAUUCGGAAUUCCUGGGCAUAAAGCGCGUGUAGGCGGUCCCGCAAGUCUGAUGUGA
rnacentral:rRNA from 1 species